ensembl:ncRNA ZK682.9 ncRNA
UUUGUUUUCAGAUCUCUGGCCCCUUAGAAUUCCCCUUUUUCUCUCUCUUCCUAUGUGCAUGUGUGUCCCAUUGUGUGGUCAUUGAUCUGUGAAGCAUUGGG